ACUCAAAUGAAUUGACGGGAGCCCGCACAAGCAGUGGAGUAUGUUGUUUAAUUCGACGCAACGCGAAGAACCUUACCAGGUCUUGACAUCUACGGAAGGGGCCGUAAUGGGCCCUGUGCCCUUCGGGGAGCCGUAAGACAGGUAGUGCAUGGUUGUCGUCAGCUCGUGUCGUGAGAUGUUGGGUUAAGUCCCGCAACGAGCGCAACCCUUACGUUUAGUUGCUAGUGCGUUAAGGCGCAAAGCACUCUAGACGGACUGCCGUUGACAAAACGGAGGAAGGUGGGGAUGAUGUCAAAUCAUCAUGCUCUUUAUGAUCUGGGCCACAAACGUACUACAAUGGCGCGAACAGCGGGGAGCGAAGGGGCGACCCGGAGCAAAUCCCAAAAACGCGUCCCAGUUCAGAUUGCAGGCUGCAACUCGCCUGCAUGAAGUCGGAAUUGCUAGUAAUCGCGGAUCAGCAUGCCGCGGUGAAUACGUUCCCGGGCUUUGUACACACCGCCCGU
rnacentral:rRNA from 1 species